rnacentral:tRNA from 1 species
GGGGGUAUGGCGGAAUCGGUAGACGCUGCGGACUUAAAAUCCGUUGGGCCUUAUAAGCUCGUGGGAGUUCAAGUCUCCCUACCCCCA